UACAUUAUGGUGUAUGUGCACAUAAAUUUUUGGUAUUUAAGGAGAAGGUUCAAUUCUUUCUUUUGUAA
rnacentral:tRNA from 1 species